GGUCAGCACGGCCCCUCCCGUGGGUGUCACAGAGAGCGAUGCGGGUCCCUCUCCCCGGGAAGGAGUGGGUCUGGGUCCAGUCCGCAGGGCCCCCUCGCGGGUGCUGACGCAGAAUGGAGUUGAGGUGGGGGCAGCGCUGGACCCCAGGGGCCCUGCCUGCCUCCUGGGGAGCCCGGUGACCCAGGCAGCCCUGGUGAGGCCGCAGAAGUCUGGGCCCUAGCGACGCCCCCGGGCUCCCACAGGACGAAUGUAGACGGUGAGGCCAAGGAGGCCCUGCUGCCCUCGGGACUGUCCCUCCAGCCCCCAGCUUUCCGUGGUUAUUGGGCCCCCUCUGCAGAGGGGCAGGGGAGCCCACCCUGGAUCCUGAGGCGCCGAGCUUGAGGGACCCCAGAGCUCCAGACAGGCCGCUUUCUUUGCGGGUGGUGAAGCUGAGGUCCCGAGGAGGGCAGGGGUAGGUCCCGGGCGCUCCUCAGGCAAAGGGAGCCGAUUUAGGGGCUGGGGUCACAGGAGGCGCUUCUGCGACCUCUAGGGCCCUAGAGCCCGGGAGGAUGAGAGACUAGGGGCCUUUCGUCCACCCCUGGGGCUGGGCGCACGCUCAGCCUGUGCAACCCGAAGCUGCUUCUGGCCAGUCCCAGCCGCGGCCCCUUUAAGAGGGGGUGGAGCUUCAGCCUGGCGCCAGGGACGCUGCCAGCACGCAGGCCCCGACGGAAGCCGAGACUGCGCUUCGUGCGAGGCCCGGGCAGCAUCCGCGGCGUGGUCAGAGCGAGUCUCGGAGAAGCUGUGGUGGCUUCUGUAUGUUGGUGGAGGAGGCGGCAGGUCUCGGCGGUCAUUUACCAUGAUGUCCUCCAGGUUCAACAGUAUGGCUCCAGAUGAUGAAAUUUCAUUCUGUUUCUUUGGCUGAAUACUAUUCUAUUUGUGUACUUCCACCACAGUCACUUUAUUCCUUCAUCUGUGGAUGGGCAGGUGACUGAUGAAGAAAAACAAAAUCGUGACCAAACUUGUCCAGUUUUGUUUUGACACACUGUAAACACAGAUGCAUGCUGAUCUAAAUAUACCCACACCGUAUGUCUUCUCAUUGGAGGAGCUACAUGCUUUCAAGUUUUGUUUAUGAGUCUCUAAUUCAUUUUGAGUUGAUUGUUGUGCUUUUUACACAAUAGGGAUCCUAUUUUAUUAUUUUACAUAGGGAUAUCCAAUUUUCAAAACAAUUUUUUUAAUUUUAUUAUUAUUAUAGUUUAAGUUUUAGGGUACAUGUACACAACGUGCAGGUUUGUUACAUAUGUAUACAUGUGCCAUGCUGGUGUGUUGCACCCAUUAACUCGUCAUUUAGUAUUAGGUAUAUCUCCUAAUGCUAUCCCUCCCCCCUCCCCACACCCCACAACAGUCCCCAGUGUGUGAUGUUCCCCUUCCUGUGUCCAUGUGUUCUCAUUAUUCAGUUCCCACCUAUGAGUGAGAACAUGUGGUGUUUGGUUUUUUGUCCUUGCGAUAGUUUGCUGAGAAUGAUGGUUUCCAGCUUCAUCCAUGUCCCUACAAAGGACAUGAAUUCAUCAUUUUUUAUGGCUGCAUAGUAUUCCAUGGUGCAUAUAUGCCACAUUUUCUUAAUCCAAUCUAUCGUUGUUGGACAUUUGGGUUGGUUCCAAGUCUUUGCUAUUGUGAAUAGUGCCACAAUAAACAUACAUGUGCAAGUGUCUUUAUAGCAGCAUGAUUUAUAAUCCUUUGGGUAUAUACCCAGUAAUGGGAUGGCUGGGUCAAAUGGUAUUUCUAGUUCUAGAUCCCUGAGGAAUCGCCACACUGACUUCCACAAUGGUUGAACUAGUUUACAGUCCCACCAACAGUGUAAAAGUGUUCCUAUUUCUCCACAUCCUUUCCAGCACCUGUUGUUUCCUGACUUUUUAAUGAUCGCCAUUCUAACUGGUGUGAGAUGGUAUCUCAUUGUGGUUUUGAUUUUCAUUUCUCUGAAGGCCAGUGAUGAUGAGCAUUUUUUCAUGUGUUUUUUGGCUGCAUAAAUGUCUUCUUUUGAGAAGUGUCUGUUCAUAUCCUUCGCCCACUUUUUGAUGGGGUUAUUUCCUUUUUUCUUGUAAAUUUGUUUGAGUUCAUUGUAGAUUCUGGAUAUUAGCCCUUUGUCAGAUGAGUGGGUUGCAAAAAUGUUCUCCCAUUCUGUAGGUUGCCUGUUCACGCUGAUGGUAGUUUCUUUUGCUGUGCGGAAGCUCUUUAGUUUAAUUAGAUCCCAUUUGUCAAUUUUGGCUUUUGUUGCCAUUGCUUUUGGUGUUUUAGACAUGAAGUCCUUGCCCAUGCCUAUGUCCUGAAUGGUAUUGCCUAGGUUUUCUUCUAGGGUUUUUAUGGUUUUAGAUAUAACAUGUAAGUCUUUAAUCCAUCUUUAAUUAAUUUUAGUAUAAGGUGUGUGGAAGGGAUCCAGUUUCAGCUUUCUACAUAUGGCUAGCCAGUUUUCCCAGCACCAUUUAUUAAAUAGGGAAUCCUUUCCCCAUUUCUUGUU